rnacentral:rRNA from 1 species
CUACGGGCCGCAGCAGUGGGGAAUAUUGCACAAUGGGCGCAAGCCUGAUGCAGCAACGCCGCGUGAGGGAUGAAGGCCUUCGGGUUGUAAACCUCUUUUAGCAGGGAAGAAGCGAAAGUGACGGUACCUGCAGAAAAAGCACCGGCUAACUACGUGCCAGCAGCCGCGGUAAUACGUAGGGUGCAAGCGUUGUCCGGAAUUAUUGGGCGUAAAGAGCUCGUAGGCGGUUCGUCACGUCUGCUGUGAAAAUCCAAGGCUCAACCUUGGACUUGCAGUGGGUACGGGCAGGCUAGAGUGCGGUAGGGGAGAUGGGAAGUCCUGGUGUAGCGGUGGAAUGCGCAGAUAUCAGGAGGAACACCAAUGGCGAAGGCACAUCUCUGGGCCGUAACUGACGCUGAGGAGCGAAAGCGUGGGGAGCGAACAGGAUUAGAUACCCCAGUAGUC